CCUACGGGUGGCAGCAGUGAGGAAUAUUGGUCAAUGGACUUACGUCUGAACCAGCCAUGCCGCGUGAAGGAAGACUGCUCUAUGAGUUGUAAACUGCUUUUGUCCGAGGGUAAAUCCCGAUACGUGUAUCCGGCUGAAAGUAACGUGCGAAUACGGAUCGGCUUACUCCGUUCCCGCAGCCGCGGGAAUACGGAGGAUUGAAGCGGUUUCCGGGUUUAUUGGGUUUAAAGGGUGCGUAGGCGGUUCGAUAAGUUCAAGGUGAAAACCCGGGGCUUAACUCCGGCACUGCCUCUGAUACUGUCGAGCUAGAGUGUAGUUGCGGGAGGCGGAAUGUAUGGGGUAGCGGUGAAAUGCAUAGAGAUCAUACAGAACACCGAUUGCGAAGGCAGCUUACCAAACUACAACUGACGUUGAGGCACGAAAGCGUGGGGAGCAAACAGGAUUAGAUACCCCAGUAGUC
rnacentral:rRNA from 1 species